UUGUCCAACUACUUUGGAUUUGGGGUGCUCUGGCCUUCACGCCUAUGAUCAUGAGGGACCAAAUAUACCUACUUCAAAGCCAUUUCGGAAGGAGACGGGGGUCAAAAGCUGUGGAUCUAAUUAAAGCAGCCUGGGAUUUCCAAUGAAUGCAGAGAAGCCUGCAGGGAUCCUGAGUGAUGCAGUGCCCCGAGGACAAGAGCCACAAAUGAGGCUCUCUACGUGUAGAAGUACUUGGGUCCGACGACGAAAAGACCGCCAUGAUAAGUAGACACGACCUUCCCGUCCAAGAUAGCGUUGAAAACAAAAAACACGUGCUUGGCGUGACAUCACUGAAAAGUAUCUUUUCACUUGGUGGAACGUCACACCCCUGAUUAAAAUGUGGUAAAUCCACUCCUUCCAUCCUGGUUCCCGCAACAGCAAGCCUGACACCUUUUCCCAGAGGUACUCACCACCCUCCAGCUCUGCUGAGGAUGAAACCAUUCUACCCCGCUCCUGCUUCAUCUGGGCUGCCACCUUGAGGAUCGAACAAAGAGCCUCAGAGGGACCCAACCAGCUCCCAUAACCACACCUCCACACUGGCUGUUCGUGCCCAAUACCACAUCCUAUGAUGUCCUUUUCUCAUGAUUCUUAGACUAUUUCCACUUUUUAAUCAUAUUUCUUGCA